AACGCUGGCGGCGUGCCUAAUACAUGCAAGUCGAGCGGACAGAAGGGAGCUUGCUCCCGGAUGUUAGCGGCGGACGGGUGAGUAACACGUGGGUAACCUGCCUGUAAGACUGGGAUAACUCCGGGAAACCGGAGCUAAUACCGGAUAGUUCCUUGAACCGCAUGGUUCAAGGAUGAAAGACGGUUUCGGCUGUCACUUACAGAUGGACCCGCGGCGCAUUAGCUAGUUGGUGAGGUAACGGCUCACCAAGGCGACGAUGCGUAGCCGACCUGAGAGGGUGAUCGGCCACACUGGGACUGAGACACGGCCCAGACUCCUACGGGAGGCAGCAGUAGGGAAUCUUCCGCAAUGGACGAAAGUCUGACGGAGCAACGCCGCGUGAGUGAUGAAGGUUUUCGGAUCGUAAAGCUCUGUUGUUAGGGAAGAACAAGUGCAAGAGUAACUGCUUGCCCCUUGACGGUACCUAACCAGAAAGCCACGGCUAACUACGUGCCAGCAGCCGCGGUAUACCGUAGGUGGCAAAGCGUUGUCCGGAAUUAUUGGGCCGUAAAGGCCUCGCA
rnacentral:rRNA from 1 species